AACACAUGCAAGUCGAGGGGCAGCAUGGUCUUUGCUUGCUAAGGCCGAUGGCGACCGGCGCACGGGUGAGUAACACGUAUCCAACCUGCCGUCUACUCUUGGACAGCCUUCUGAAAGGAAGAUUAAUACAAGAUGGCAUCAUGAGUCCGCAUGUUCACAUGAUUAAAGGUAUUCCGGUAGACGAUGGGGAUGCGUUCCAUUAGAUAGUAGGCGGGGUAACGGCCCACCUAGUCUUCGAUGGAUAGGGGUUCUGAGAGGAAGGUCCCCCACAUUGGAACUGAGACACGGUCCAAACUCCUACGGGAGGCAGCAGUGAGGAAUAUUGGUCAAUGGGCGAGAGCCUGAACCAGCCAAGUAGCGUGAAGGAUGACUGCCCUAUGGGUUGUAAACUUCUUUUAUAAAGGAAUAAAGUCGGGUAUGGAUACCCGUUUGCAUGUACUUUAUGAAUAAGGAUCGGCUAACUCCGUGCCAGCAGCCGCGGUAAUACGGAGGAUCCGAGCGUUAUCCGGAUUUAUUGGGUUUAAAGGGAGCGUAGAUGGAUGUUUAAGUCAGUUGUGAAAGUUUGCGGCUCAACCGUAAAAUUGCAGUUGAUACUGGAUAUCUUGAGUGCAGUUGAGGCAGGCGGAAUUCGUGGUGUAGCGGUGAAAUGCUUAGAUAUCACGAAGAACUCCGAUUGCGAAGGCAGCCUGCUAAGCUGCAACUGACAUUGAGGCUCGAAAGUGUGGGUAUCAAACAGGAUUAGAUACCCUGGUAGUCCACACGGUAAACGAUGAAUACUCGCUGUUUGCGAUAUACUGCAAGCGGCCAAGCGAAAGCGUUAAGUAUUCCACCUGGGGAGUACGCCGGCGACGGUGAAACUCAAAGGAAUUGACGGGGGCCCGCACAAGCGGAGGAACAUGUGGUUUAAUUCGAUGAUACGCGAGGAACCUUACCCGGGCUUAAAUUGCAGAUGAAUUACGGUGAAAGCCGUAAGCCGCAAGGCAUCUGUGAAGGUGCUGCAUGGUUGUCGUCAGCUCGUGCCGUGAGGUGUCGGCUUAAGCGCCAUAACGAGCGCAACCCUUGUUGUCAGUUACUAACAGGUUCCGCUGAGGACUCUGACAAGACUGCCAUCGUAAGAUGUGAGGAAGGUGAGGAUGACGUCAAAUCAGCACGGCCCUUACGUCCGGGGCUACACAAGUGUUACAAUGGGGGGUACAGAGGGCCGCUACCACGCGAGUGGAUGCCAAUCCCCAAAACCUCUCUCAGUUCGGACUGGAGUCUGCAACCCGACUCCACGAAGCUGGAUUCGCUAGUAAUCGCGCAUCAGCCACGGCGCGGUGAAUACGUUCCCGGGCCUUGUACACACCGCCCGUCAAGCCAUGGGAGCCGGGGGUACCUGAAGUGCGUAACCGCGAGGAGCGCCCUAGGGUAAAACUGGUGACUGGGGCUAAGU
rnacentral:rRNA from 1 species